GAUCCUGUAGCUCAGUUGGCAGAGCAGCUGACUUUUAAUCAGCGGGUCGCAGGUUCGAGCCCUGCCGGGAUCACCA
rnacentral:tRNA from 1 species